AAAMUGGGAUUAGAUACCCCACUAUGCUUGMCCCUAAACACAGAUUUUUCUCAAUACAUAAAAAUCCGCCAGAGAACUACUAAUUACUCAUUUAAAACUCAAAGGACUDGACGGUAUCUCAAACCCAACUAGAGGAGCCUGUUCUAUAAUCGAUAAUCCACGAUYUACCUCACCACCCAUAGCCCAUUCAGCCUAUAUACCUCCGUCUUCAGCCUACCCUAUGAAAGUAUAAAAGUAAGCACAACAGUCAACACACUAACAAGUCAGGUCAAGGUGUAGCCCAUGGGGUGGAAGAAAUGGGCUACAUUUUYUACCAUAGAAAUACACUUUAACGGAAGGGACCUUGAAACAAGACCCAVCAAGCAGGAUUUAGCAGCAAUGUGAGAACAGAGAGCCCACAUUAAUCAGGAUCUGAGAUGCGUACMCMCCGCCCGYCGCCC
rnacentral:rRNA from 1 species